GGGUCCUUAGCUCAGCUGGUAGAGCAGGGGAUUUUUAAUCCCAAGGCCGAGGGUUCGAACCCCCCAGGACCCA
rnacentral:tRNA from 1 species